GGGGCUUAGUCUUGUAUUGGAUGAUGGGAAUUUAAACCUCUUCCAGAGUAUCAAUUGGAGGGCAAGUCUGGUGCCAGCAGCCGCGGUAAUUCCAGCUCCAAUAGCGUAUAUUAAAAUUGUUGCAGUUAAAAAGCUCGUAGUUGAAUUUCUGCUGCAUUGCUUGUGUCCCUUAGGGGUCUAUGCAUGUGGCUUAUUUCAGACGGAGUUUCUUUGUCUGAAUGUUUACUUUGAGAAAAUUAGAGUGCUCAAAGCAGGCUUUUGCCUUGAAUAGUUUAGCAUGGAAUAAUAAAGUAGGACUUUGGUUCUAUUUUGUUGGUUUUAGGUACCAAAGUAAUGGUUAAUAGGAACAGUUGGGGGCAUUCGUAUUUAACUGUCAGAGGUGAAAUUCUUAGAU
rnacentral:rRNA from 1 species